GACGAACGCUGGCGGCGUGCUUAACACAUGCAAGUCGAACGGAAAGGCCCUGCUUUUGUGGGGUGCUCGAGUGGCGCACGGGUGAGUAACACGUGAGUAACCUGCCCUUUACUUUGGGAUAACUUCAGGAAACUCGGGCUAAUACCGGGUAGGAUCUACUGCUGCAUGGUGUGGGUUGGAAAGUUUCGGCGGUUGGGGCUGGACUCGCGGCUUAUCAGCUUUUUGGUGGGGUAGUGGCUUACCAAGGCUUUGACGGGUAGCCGGCCUGGGAGGGUGACCGGCGACAUUGGUACUGAGAUACGGCCCAGUCUCCUACGGGAGGCAGCAGUGGAGAGUAUUGCACAAUGGGCGGAAGCCUGAGGCAGCAACGCCGCGUGCGGGAUGACGGCCUUCGGGUUGUAAACCGCUUUCGCCUGUGACGAAGCGUGAGUGACGGUAAUGGGUAAAGAAGCACCGGCUAACUACGUG
rnacentral:rRNA from 1 species